CCUACGGGUGGCAGCAGUCGAGAAUCAUUCACAAUGGGGGAAACCCUGAUGGUGCGACGCCGCGUGGGGGAAUGAAGGUCUUCGGAUUGUAAACCCCUGUCAUGUGGGAGCAAAUUAAAAAGAUCGUACCACAAGAGGAAGAGACGGCUAACUCUGUGCCAGCAGCCGCGGUAAUACAGAGGUCUCAAGCGUUGUUCGGAAUCACUGGGCGUAAGGCGUGCGUAGGCUGUUUCGUAAGUCGUGUGUGAAAGGCGCGGGCUCAACCCGCGGACGGCACAUGAUACUGCGAGACUAGAGUAAUGGAGGGGGAACCGGAAUUCUCGGUGUAGCAGUGAAAUGCGUAGAUAUCGAGAGGAACACUCGUGGCGAAGGCGGGUUCCUGGACAUUAACUGACGCUGAGGCACGAAGGCCAGGGGAGCGAAAGGGAUUAGAUACCCCUGUAGUC
rnacentral:rRNA from 1 species